UUGACAAGCCUUCGGUCCUAAGCUAGGCAUAUGCCUCCACAGAUGCUAUACCUGUUCAUUUAAGCACUUUGGUCACCCUGUCUCUGGGUGCCCCCCCUUGCCCCUCCGAUGGUUGGGGAUUGUGUGAAUUCCAUCUGCAGCGGCCUCUCACCUUUUCCUGCCUAGGUUAUCCUUGUGGCUGUCAACUUGUGCUCAUCCGGCCUGACCUUUCAGGCAUGUGAUGGAACCAGGGUAUAUACGCACCCUGUUGUCUUUUUACUCCCACUACGGACCAGCAGAAUCCUAAACUCUGAUCUCAACCACCCCUGAAGAAGCC